CGUUCGGGUUCAAGUUCCUUGGAAUAGGACAUCAGAGAGGGUGAGAAUCCCGUCUGUGAUCCGAUCGGUUUCGGUACGAUAACGUUUCUAAGAGUCGAGUUGUUUGGGAUUGCAGCUCAAAAUGGGUGGUAAAUUCCAUCUAAGGCUAAAUAUAGGCGAGAGACCGAUAGCGAACAAGUACCGUGAGGGAAAGAUGAAAAGAACUUUGAAAAGAGAGUUAAACAGUACGUGAAAUUGUUGAUAGGGAAACGAUUGAAGUCAGUCAUGCCGGUGAAAAAUCAGCUUACAGGCUACUGUGAGUGCACUUUUUCGCAAGGCAGGUUAACAUCGGUUUUUGUUGCGUCAUAAUGAUUGUAGGAAGGUGGCUCCUUCGGGAGUGUUAUAGCCUACUUUAGAUGGCACGACGAGGACUGAGGAUUGCAGCGAAUGCCUUUGGCUACGGAUCUUUUCUCUGUCGAUCUUCAAUUGAUCGUCAGCUUGCUGACGAGCGGUUGAUAGGUUUACAACAGGGUGGAAUUCGAUAAAUUCGCUAAGGAUGUUGACGUAAUGGCUUUAAACGACCCGUCUUGAAACACGGACCAAGGAGUCUAACAUACGUGCGAGUGUUUGGGUGACAAACCCAUUCGCGUAAUGAAAGUGAACGUAGGUGGGAGCCUUUUGGUGCACCAUCAACC
rnacentral:rRNA from 1 species